GUCUGUAUGAAGUUGUAUGGAGUCUAACCUGCCCGUUGAAAAAAUUUUGAAAGGCCGCGGUAUAUUAACUGUGCAAAGGUAGCAUAAUCAUUAGUUUUUUAAUUGAAGGCUUGUAUGAAGGGUUGGACAAAGAAAAAUCUGUCUUCUAUUUUUAUUUUUGAAUUUUACUUUUAAGUGAAAAGGCUUAAUUUAUUUAAAGGGACGAUAAGACCCUAUAAAUCUUUAUAUUAAUUUAUUUUUUUUAAUAAUUAGUUUUGUAUAAAUAAUUUAAAAAUAAAAAAUAUUUUGUUGGGGCGAUGAGAAUAUAAAUAUAACUGUUUUAAAAUAUAAACAAAGUUAUUUGUUAAAAUUUAAAGAUCCUUUAUAAAGAUUAUAAGUUUAAGUUACUUUAGGGAUAACAGCGUUAUUUUUUUUGAGAGUUCUUAUCGAAAAGAAAGUUUGCGACCUCGAUGUUGAAUUAAAAUAUCUUUAUGGUGUAGCUGCUAUAGAAAGAAAGUCUGUUCGACUUUUAAAUUUUU
rnacentral:rRNA from 1 species